AUGAAAACAUAUGUUCCUACUUUAUUCAUGUUCUUGUGGCUGCAGCUCGAUGGGGUGAUCCAUGGUGAGCAGGUGGAGCAGCAUCCUUCCAUUCUUAGAGUCCAGGAGGGAGCCAGCGCAGUCAUCAACUGCACUUACACAGACAGUACCUCGUCCUACUUCCCUUGGUAUAAGCAAGGACCUGGAGAGCAUCCUCAGCUUAUCAUUGACAUUCGUUCAACUGUGGAAAGAAAGCAGGAGCAAAGACUGAUCCUUUUACAGGAUAAGAAAGCCAAACACUUCUCCCUGCACAUCCCAGAUACCCGGCCUGGAGACUCUGCCCUGUACUUCUGUGCUGCAAGUACACACUGCUCCACAUGCACCUGCAGCCUGUCCUCAAACCCGCCACGGGGCCUGGAGCCCGGUCCACAUCCUAUGUCACAGGCCUCGAGUGCAGCAUGUACAUCUGUGGUGCAGUUUGAAGGGAAAUCAGCAGAGGGCGCUGCCUCUUCGGAUGUGGUUAAUGUCUGCAUCCAGGUGGUGGCUUCACAUGACAGACUGUCACUGUGCAGAAGGAGGUCCUUGUUUAUGAGUGAGGAGUUUCAAUAA